rnacentral:tRNA from 1 species
GCCCUGGUAGUCUAGUGGCCUAGGAUAGAGCCCUGUCGAGGCUCUGACUCGGGUUCAAAAAAUUAGCCAUAGGUGAUUUCACCCAAUAAGGGCUUAUUUGAGUGUCCCGACCAGGGCG